CAGCCCGUGAGGUCUGGUCUGGAGGAAGCCACUAGCAAAGCUGCGAGCUGAUGAACAAGAACAUCCUAUGAGGCGUAGGCUGGAGGCGAGUUGGCACAAGACAACGAAGCCACGUGAUCUGACGGCCACCGUNGUCUUGGCGUUGAAAUCCGAACGGCAGUUGGUUGUGGUCGAAGCAGUAAAGGCCCGUGGA
rfam:Endozoicomonas numazuensis strain DSM 25634 scaffold00003, whole genome shotgun sequence.